AUGUCGAUGAUAGAUAUGUCCAGGGACCCAUUGGUCGUUGGCCACAUCGUUGGGGAUAUUGUGGACCCUUUCAUGACUACUGCGUCAUUGAGGAUCUUCUUCAACAACAAGGAGCUGACAAACGGGUCUGAGCUCAAGCCAUCUCAAGUGUUCAACGUUCCAAGAGUUUAUAUUGGCGGGCGAGACAUGAGGAAUCUGUACACGCUUGUGAUGGUGGACCCUGACUCACCAAGCCCCAGCAACCCUACUAAAAGAGAGAACCUUCAUUGGUUGGUAACAGACAUUCCAGAGACUACUGAUGCAAGUUUUGGAAAUGAAAUAGUCCCCUAUGAGAGCCCACGUCCAACUGCGGGAAUCCAUCGUUUCGUUUUCAUCCUGUUUAGGCAGUCAGUCAGGCAGACCACUUAUGCAGCAGGGUGGAGAGCAAACUUCUGCACAAGGGACUUCGCAGCGAUCUACAAUCUCGGAUCGCCUGUCGCUGGGAUGUACUUCAACUGCCAAAGAGAAAAUGGCUGUGGUGGUAGAAGGUACAUUAGGUAA
rnacentral:rRNA from 1 species